GAGCUUCGCGGCGGUUGUUCCUCCCGACGACCGCAGCGAACGGGCCGCACGGUUCCUCCCACCGUCGCAGGCCAUCCCAAGACGCCCUUGCCGGUCCUCCCCCGGCAAGGGCGUUUUUC
rnacentral:sRNA from 1 species